UACGAAGGGAGCUAGCGUUGUUCGGAAUUACUGGGCGUAAAGCGCGCGCAGGCGGCUCUUUAAGUCUGACGGUGAAAUGCCGGGGCUCAACCCCGAGCGUGCCGGAGAUACUGGAGGGCUGGAGACGAGUAGAGGCAAGCGGAAUUCCGGGUGUAGCGGUGGAAUGCGUAGAGAUCCGGAAGAACACCGGAGGCGAAGGCGGCUUGCUGGGCUCGGUCUGACGCUGAGGCGCGAAAGCGUGGGGAGCGAACAGG
rnacentral:rRNA from 1 species